AUUGAACGCUGGCGGCAGGCCUAACACAUGCAAGUCGAGCGAGCGGCGGACGGGUGAGUAAUGUCUGGGAAACUGCCUGAUGGAGGGGGAUAACUACUGGAAACGGUAGCUAAUACCGCAUACCAUCAGAUGUGCCCAGAUGGGAGUAGCUAGUAGGUGGGGUAACGGCUCACCUAGGCGACGAUCCCUAGCUGGUCUGGGAGGAUGACCAGCCAAACUGGAACUGGGACACGGUCAAGACUCCGACGGGAGGAAGCAGUGGGGAAUAUUGCACAAGGGGGGCAAGCCUGAUGCAGCCAUGCCGCGGGUGUGAAGAAGGCCUUCGGGUUGGAAAGCACUGUCAGCGGGGAGGCGUUACCCGCAGAAGAAGCACCGGCUAACUCCGUGCCAGCAGCCGCGGUAAUUC
rnacentral:rRNA from 1 species